rnacentral:rRNA from 1 species
GAUGAACGCUGGCGGCGUGCCUAAUACAUGCAAGUCGAGCGAACGGACGAGAAGCUUGCUUUUCUGAUGUUAGCGGCGGACGGGUGAGUAACACGUGGAUAACCUACCUAUAAGACUGGGAUAACUUCGGGAAACCGGAGCUAAUACCGGUUAAUAUUUUGAACCGCAUGGUUCAAAAGUGAAAGACGGUCUUGCUGUCACUUAUAGAUGGAUCCGCGCUGCAUUAGCUAGUUGGUAAGGUAACGGCUUACCAAGGCAACGAUGCAUAGCCGACCUGAGAGGGUGAUCGGCCACACUGGAACUGAGACACGGUCCAGACUCCUGCGGGAGGCAGCAGUAGGGAAUCUUCCGCAAUGGGCGAAAGCCUGACGGAGCAACGCCGCGUGAGUGAUGAAGGUCUUCGGAUCGUAAAACUCUGUUAUUAGGGAAGAACAUAUGUGUAAGUAACUGUGCACAUCUUGACGGUACCUAAUCAGAAAGCCACGGCUAACUACGUG